GGUGACAUUCUAGCACCCUUGAAUGCACAUAGGCCGAAGGUCGAAUCAGAAAUACAAAAGGGGGCUAAAUGUUCGAAAGCAAAUGAUACUUGGUUGUUGAAUGGGGACACCACCUCAGUCGAUUUACAAUGGUUAGUGUACUUCACAGCGGUAACUGUGCACUUUACAAUGGUGGUAACAAGGGGCGACUCAGAACUUCGAGGAGACAAUACAGCGUGAGGCAGUGGUCUCAAGAUACGAGGAAGAAAGAAAAAGAAAAGAAUUCUCAGACGGGUGCAAAGGCUGGAUUCUAUUGGACAACGCGUUGGCCAUUCAGAGCGCGGUACUGCGUAAAGGCACCUCAUUGGUCGAUUGUUUACACCAAUCACGGAGCGCAGACCGCGAGCCUGGACAGUGUUUAACAGCAGAUGGCGCUGUGGGAUUUAGACAAUAGAUUGGGGAGAAGAGAUUUGGCGACCACAGUAUUUUAGCCCUUGUCUAAGCUAGAUCGUUUCGAUGCGAAAAUAAAGGACAAUAAUCAUUUUCGGCUCCAUGAUUAGUUAGAGUGGUAUCAGUUUGUCGUGUUAAACAGUGUCAAGUUAACAUGGGGAAACUUUGGUUUCAGCUAUACAUCCCAAAGAAUGCAAAGUGUGGAUAUAAAAUGUUAUCUUUAUCAGUUAUCAUCAGGCUUUAUAUUGCAAACGCCCCUUUCCGGUAAAGAAGUGUUAUCAAAAACUCAAUCCCGAAUUCAUAUAAGACUAAUAAUGUUAAUUUGUUUAAUCAAAUGAAGAAAAAACGUUAUGGUACCACUGACAUGGACCCCCCCCCCCUCAUUUAGUGGACCCCCCUCAUUUCCAUUUACGCUCAAUAUUAUACUGUUUUUUGUUUUACGAAGUAAGAUAAGAAUGCUCGUCUGUAAAAUUGUAUUUGAUUUGUAUUACUUUAUAUAACUUUGUAUUGUGUUUUGAAUGGAAAUGGAAUAAAGAAUUGAAUUGAA